GAUGAAGAACGUAGCGAAAUGCGAUAAGUAGUGUGAAUUGCAGAAUUCAGUGAAUCAUCGAAUCUUUGAACGCACAUUGCGCCCCUUGGUAUUCCAUGGGGCAUGCCUGUUCGAGCGUCAUUUGUACCCUCAAGCACUGCUUGGUGUUGGGUGUUUGUCCCGCUUUGCGCGUGGACUCGCCUUAAAGCAAUUGGCAGCCGGCAGAUUGGCCUGGAUCGCGAGCACAUUUUGCGACCUUGUCAUAACUGUUUGGCACCCAUCAAGACUAUUUUUUGCUCUUGACCUCGGAUCAGGUAGGGAUACCCGCUGAACUUAAGCAUAUCAAUAAGCGGAGGA
rnacentral:misc_RNA from 1 species